rnacentral:rRNA from 1 species
UACGGGGGGGGGCAAGCGUUGUUCGGAAUUACUGGGCGUAAAGGGCUCGUAGGUGGCCAACUAAGUCGGACGUGAAAUCCCUCAGCUUAACUGGGGAACUGCGUCCGAUACUGGAUGGCUUGAGUUUGGGAGAGGGAUGCGGAAUUCCAGGUGUAGCGGUGAAAUGCGUAGAUAUCUGGAGGAACACCGGUGGCGAAGGCGGCAUCCUGGACCAACACUGACACUGAGGAGCGAAAGCCAGGGGAGCAAACGGGG